rnacentral:rRNA from 1 species
CCCUUAGAUGUUCUGGGCCGCACGCGCGCUACACUGAUGUUGUCAACGAGUUCCAACCUUGGCUGACAAGUCUGGGUAAUCUUUGAAACAACAUCGUGCUGGGGAUAGAUUAUUGCAAUUGUUAAUCUUCAACGAGGAAUUCCUAGUAAAUGCAAGUCAUCAGCUUGCGUUGAUUACGUCCCUGCCCUUUGUACACACCGCCCGUCGCUACUACCGAUUGAAUAAUCCGGUGAAAUCUCGGGACCGCGGACUCAAGCGGGGCAACCUGCUAGGUCUGUGGGAACUUGAGUAAACCUUAUUAUUUAGAGGAAGUAAAANUCGUANCA